UACGUAGGGUGCAAGCGUUGUCCGGAAUUAUUGGGCGUAAAGGGCUCGUAGGCGGUCCAUCGCGUCGGGAGUGAAAAGCUGGGGCUCAACCCCAGUCCUGCUUCCGAUACGGGUGGACUAGAGGUAGGCAGGGGAGAACGGAAUUCCUGGUGUAGCGGUGAAAUGCGCAGAUAGUCAGGAGGAACACCGGUGGUGUAGACGGCUCUCUGGACCAUAACUGACGCUGAGACACGAAAGCGUGGGUAGCAAACAGG
rnacentral:rRNA from 1 species